UUGCAUUACGGGAACCCCAGGGGCUGAGAUGGCCCCCAACCUCUCUGGUGUCAGGGGCAACAGAGGAUCAUCUGGGUGCGCAAUCCAGGAUCACGAGAGAGCCACAGCUCCCUCCAUGUCAAGUCUGCGGGAAAGAAAUGAUCCUUGAGCUACCAGAAAUACUUCAUCUUCAUAAAUAAAAGAGGAAAAUGCUGCCAAACAAAUUUCACAACUAUAAAAUCGUGGCCAAGUGGCAACUGAACACAGAAUACCUUUCUCCAGUCUCAGGUGAUGCUCCAGCUGUGUCCUCUCCUAUUCCUUUUGAUGUUCAACUGUGGAGACAUCCUCUGCCCUCUUUAUCACAUUUCUCGAUUUGUAUUUUCACUGUUUUGCUGACUGAUUCUUUAAUAAAAUGGGGUUUUUGGCUGUA